AAUGAACGCUGGCGGCAUGCCUAACGCAUGCAAGUCGAACGAAGGCUUCGGCCUUAGUGGCGCACGGGUGCGUAACGCGUGGGAAUCUGCCCUCAGGUUCGGAAUAACAGCGAGAAAUUGCUGCUAAUACCGGAUGAUAUCGCGAGAUCAAAGAUUUAUCGCCUGAGGAUGAGCCCGCGUAGGAUUAGCUAGUUGGUGUGGUAAAGGCGCACCAAGGCGACGAUCCUUAGCUGGUCUGGGAGGAUGAUCAGCCACACUGGGACUGAGACACGGCCCAGACUCCUACGGGAGGCAGCAGUGGGGAAUAUUGGACAAUGGGCGAAAGCCUGAUCCAGCAAUGCCGCGUGAGUGAUGAAGGCCUUAGGGUUGUAAAGCUCUUUUACCCGGGAUGAUAGUGACAGUACCGGGAGAAUAAGCUCCGGCUAACUCCGUGCCAGCCGCCGCAGUAA
rnacentral:rRNA from 1 species